rnacentral:rRNA from 1 species
AUUGAACGCUGGCGGCAGGCCUAACACAUGCAAGUCGAACGAGUGGCGGACGGGGGAGUAAUGUCUGUGAAAAUGCCUGAAGGAGGGGGAUAACUACUGUAAACGGUAGCUAAUAUCGCAUACCCGCUGGUGUGCCCAGAUGGGAUGAGCUAGUCGGUGGGGUAACGGCUCACCUAGGCGACGAUCCCUAGCUGGUCUGAGAGGAUGAGCAGCCACACUGGAACUGAGACACGGUCCAGACUCCUACGGUAGGCAGCAGUGGGGAAUAUUGCACAAUGGGCGCAAGCCUGAUGCAGCCAUGCCGCGUGUAUGAAGAAGGCCUUCGGGUUGUAAAGUACUUUCAGCGGGGAGGCGUUACCCGCAGAAGAAGCACCGGCUAACUCCGUGCCAGCAGCCGCGGUAAUUC